GGGGAGGAACUGGAGCUGGAUUAGGGGGUGGUCUUGGAACUGGAGCUGGACUUGGUGCUGGAACAGGCCCAGGAGGAGGAUUUGGUGCGGGAAUCGGAAGUGUUGGGCCAGGAGUUGGUCCUGGAGGAGUUGGAACAGGAUUAGGUCCAGGUGGUCUUGGAAUAGGGCCAGGAACUGGAAUCAGACCUGGAACUGGAGUUGGAGGAAUACUUGGUUUCAAACCAGGAAAGACAGGAAGCUUUGGAGGUGGUGGUGCUGGGGGGCAAGGUGCUGGACUGGGUGCAGGGCUUGGGGGAGUUGGGCCUGGUGGUGCAGGGCUUGGU